GCGCCAGUAGUCCAGUGGUUAAGAUACGGCCUUGCCAAGGCUGUGACCCGGGUUCGAAUCCCGGCUGGCGCA
rnacentral:tRNA from 1 species